rnacentral:lncRNA from 10 species
UUCCUGUCCUACGUUUUGAAAACAUUUAUGCUUAUCAGCAUCAAAUAACUGCCUUUUGUAUUGAAUUCAAAAGUGUAAUUCACCUUAGAAUGCUUCCAUUCGACUGUAGUGACCAUGAAUUUAGAAUCUAACACGAAGAUACAUUAUAUGACUAAGGAUUUUUGAAAACUUGCAAAAACGGCAUAAAAGUUAAAACACACUUAUUCAUACAUGUGAUAAAUAAAUGACUUUUAUUGAAAAGAAAAACUUAACAGGACUGUGCCAGACAGCUGGGAUGAAGAAUGACCAUCUGGGCAAAUCCUCCUUGGAACGCAGAUCCUCUUGUUACGGUCUCAGUGGAGGAAGUCAGUACCAUCUCUUUCAUAAAUCUCAAUCUAUUUGAGGACAUCCUUCAACUUUAUCUUUAGAGAGAAUGGCCACAUUCUGCUGGCUGUGACCCAGUCUCUCCAGAGCCCAGCCGUGGACAUAAAAUUUGGAAAAGGGCCUGGCGAAUGCCACGUCUAGAGAAGGAUCAUUUCCUGGGGCUUUUGGGUUAUGUUCCUAUUAAUAUAAAUCAUCGUCUCCAUUUCAGAAGAAGAACCAAAACACAUCUGAUCUGCUCUUAAAGGAAACUCAAUUGUGACAAGCAGAGGAAACUAAAGAGGGCCUGGCCCAUGGCAGGAGCUCAGGAAAUGUCAGAUAAAUGAUUGAAUUUACAAGAACAAGCCCAACAGUUAAGAAAACUUCAGCUCCUGCCUCCUGCCCAUGCAGCCCAGAAGGGCCAGUUUCAUGCCAUGUUUGAUUGCCGCUCCGGUCCCAGGAGGGAUGGAAUCUGCUGUCUCACCAAGACUUGGGCAUGAGGCUGGCCUUCUCCAGAAGCUCCAGGCCCAGAGAAACAAUACAUCUAACCAAAGUCCCCCAGGGAGUCUUGGCACACAGUUGGUGCUCAGUGGACAUUGGAAUGUUUCAACAGCCAUGUCUCCUUGUUGCUGAACUGAGCAACAUCCAUGGACAUCCAUGGGACAGAUGGUUCUCUCUCCAGCAUGGAAUCAGAAGGCCUGGUUUCAAGUUCCAGGACUGUGCCUCAUUCAUUGUGUGUUGCUGGCUGAGUCACUUAACCUGCCUGAGCAAAGAACAGAGAAGCAGUCAGAUUUGGAAUCCACUGGGGAGGCAGGGUUUGUAAAACUUGUUGAUUAAAUGAACAAGAGUAUGUGGGAAUGAGAAGAAUCAAAAUCUAAGCCAAGCAUCUGGCCUGAACAGCUGGGUGGUCAGUGAACCCAUUUCCUGGAAUGAAGAAGAUGGGAAUGCAGGGGUGUUUUUGGAGUGGAGUUUGGGUCAAGAGUUUGGAUUUCUAUGUAAUGGAAGUUGUGGGCAGCCAUUGGAAGGAUAUUGACUUUCCUUCCAAGGAGCUGGAGAGCUUCUUAGAGGCCUUUGUCACACCUACCUGGUUCUCCCAGCUCUCUCCAGCUAACAGCCCAAGUCCUUCUCUCCGGCUACAUGACCCUACACAGUAUGGUCCCCACUGCCUCUCUGCCCACUGCCCAUAGGACUCCUUCUUGCUCUCUGUUGGCCCCUGCUCUAGGAUGUGUCCCUUACUUUCUCAGCAGGACCUUCUCAUCUCCCAGAUACCCACCUGGCUCUCCCAUCACCUCCUUCAAUCUUUGUCUAAAUGUCACCUUCUCAAGAAAACCAAGCCUGGCCACUCCACUCUCUGCAAAAAUAGCAAAACUCUACCCUUCCUCUCUCUAGUAUCCCCUGUCCCUCUCACUGGGUUUAUUUUUCUUCAAAGUACUUACCACAUUCUAAUUCACUCACACCUAGAAUCUCUGCUUCCUCUCACUUGAAUAUAAACUUCAGGACGGCAGGGAUUUUUGUUUGCUUUGUUCACUGCUGUAUCCCCACAGCCGAGAAUGGUGCCCAGCAUGUAGUAGGGCAGGGAUUUUUGUUUGCUUUGUUCACUGCUAUAUUCCCACAGCCGAGAAUGGUGCCUAGCAUGUAGUAGGUGCUCAAUAAAUAUAUGUUAAAU